rnacentral:misc_RNA from 1 species
GAUGAAGAACGUAGCGAAAUGCGAUAAGUAAUGUGAAUUGCAGAAUUCAGUGAAUCAUCGAAUCUUUGAACGCACCUUGCGCCCUUUGGCCAUUCCGAAGGGCAUGCCUGUUUGAGUAUCAUGAACACCUCAACUCUUUAUGGUUUUCCAUGAUGAGCUUGGACUUUGGGGGUUUUGCUGGCCUAUGGUCGGCUCCUCUAAAAUAAAUCAGCUUACCAGUGUUUGGUGGGUAUCAUGGGUGUGAUAACUAUCUACGCUUGUGGUUUUUCCGCCAGGUAACCUUCGACAGCGGAGGUUCACUGGAGCUCAUAGAUGUCUCUCCUCAGCGAGGACAGCCCUUUGAAUGUUUGAUCUCAAAUCAGGUAGGACUACCCGCUGAACUUAAGCAUAUCAAUAAGCGGAGA